rnacentral:lncRNA from 1 species
CUUGCAUCCAUCCAUCCUGAAUGAUAUUCUUUGUUGUGUCCAUUCUUAUAAGCAAGGUCUACAUGAAUUUAUGGAACUGGAUUUCCUUCUUAUUUACCUUGUCUCCUGUUAUUAUUAGAUGAAUGACAGCAGAUUUUACCCUGGGUACGCUCAUUUUUAAUAUCUUUUCUAUGCUCAAAUCAUAUAUCUGUAGUGCUGAUCAUUGAUUAUUACUUUUGUUGGGGUCAUGUUUAACCGUUAAAUAGAUUUUGGGACAGGAACACCUAUGGCAUCGUUAUGCUUCUGCUAUCUGUUCACAAAUCGGGGGAUUAUUUUUGUCUGCCUCAAAAAUAUGGUAGUUUUGAAGAAAAAAAUUUCUCAAGGCUCUCCUAAUUGUUGGCAGUGGGUGCAUUGCAUCCAAUCAGUAUCAAAUGCUCUUGUCGGGGAAUACAUGAAACCAAGGUUGUCAAAAUCAUGUUUGCAAAUAGGCUUGAUAUGGGAUCACAAUUGAAUUAUGAAGAAUAACAAGAUUGUAGAAAGAAAAAGGUAACAGAUAAAAAGGGUAUAUAUUUCAAAAUCAUGAUAUAAUUUCAAGAAAAAGAUGUAGAAGAAUCAAACCAAUGUCUGGAAACUAGGCAUGAUUUCAUCCGUAGCCAGAGAUUGAAAAGAAGAAAGAGGGAAAGAGGGAUGAGGGGUGAAUGAUGUACUGAAAAACUGCUGAAAAUCAGAAAUGUCAAGAAGUAUAUCUCUGAGGUCAAAGAGAAAAAAAAAUCUAAUAGAUGAUAUAGUUGAUGGAAAAAGAACCAAUAUCUCUGCUCUGCUGAAAAUAUUUCUAGGUGACUCCUAAUUUUGAUUGUUUUAACAGUGAAAAAAAUAAAGGCAGGACUAGUUGCUUGCUAGACUCUCAGGGGUUGUCCCCCAAGUUGACUGGCCCCCAGCCUACCAUGAUAUGAUUCUUGUAUGUUGUGAGUUUUGAAUGGGAGCCAGGUCUUAGUUUUGUGAUGGUAUUGGGCAUAGUGGGUAUCUAGAAUCUUCAUUGGGAGCUUAAUGGCUAUUCCUAGAACAUUUUGUAUGGAUUGGUUAAUGGUGCUGGGUUCAAUAGAAAUGUAUUUUUCUUUCUCGAUGAACUAAAAGUUGAUCAAGAAGACCCAGUAGACACGAGUAGACCUUUUCUGUACGCAAGAUCAAACUUAUCACACAUUGAUGAAAAGUGGUGUUAGGGCUCUAAAAAAGAGUGGGAAAAUUUUGGAGUUUGUUCAUGCACACAAACAAAUAACAAUGAGAGUUGCAUUUUUGACUUGUUAUCUUUAUUUCUUUCUUUGGCAGAACCUAGCUGGACGCAAAGAACAGUCAGCACUCCGGGCUGUCAUCAAGUGCAUUGAAGAAUACAAACUGGAAGCUGAGUUCCCUCCAGAAAACCUUAAGAAGCGCCUUGAACAGCUAGAGAAAGCAAAAACUGACAAGAAAAGGCCAGCUGCAGUCCCUGCCAACAAACGAACACGAGCAAGCAAUGGUGGGCCCAUGCCUCCAGCCAAGGCUGGCCGCUUGACAAAUGCAUACGUAUCAUCUUUCCCAGCUGCUCCUACAUUCAUCCGGUCUCCCUCUCACACUCAGUACCCUGCUGCAGUCCCUGCAUACCCAUAUGACAGGCCAGCUGCACCUGCCAUGUAUGGCAGCAGGAGUCCACCAGCCAACCCUUAUGCUUACUCGCCGGAAGCUGCCCCUCCUCUUGCUGGAUCAUAUCCUGGAGCUCCCAUCAACUAUCCUGCAUAUGGAGGCUAUGGCAAUGGUAUGGCACCAGCUUAUCAGCAGGCUUACUACUGAUAAUAGACAUGACUACUCUGAAGAUGGUAACACUGAUAUGAUGAUGACCCC